UACAGAGGUCUCAAGCGUUGUUCGGAUUCAUUGGGCGUAAAGGGUGUGUAGGUGGCGCCGUAAGUCGGGUGUGAAAUUUCGGAGCUUAACUCCGAAACUGCAUUCGAUACUGCGGUGCUUGAGGACUGGAGAGGAGACUGGAAUUCAUGGUGUAGCGGUGAAAUGCGCAGAUAUCAGGAGGAACACCUAUGGCGAAGGCAGCUCGCUGGGACGGUACUGACGCUGAGGCGCGAAAGCGUGGGGAGCGAACAGG
rnacentral:rRNA from 1 species